UGAUGAGGCCUGGGUAGUUGUACUGAGAGCCAAAGCCUGAGUGUCAAUGACCUGUUCAGGUGCAGAGCAAGCAGGCCUGCACCGUGGGGAAUCAUGUGGUGCAGACCUGGGGUCAGAACACAGGGUGGACUUCGGGGAAGGUAAAACUCGGGGCUGACGUGGGCGCCGCGCGGGGAAUGGUGGGGAAGUCUGCAGUGCAGCAGCUGGACCCGCCUCCCUACCGCCCUGGAUCCUCCCAGCCACUGGUGUGACUGUGGACUUCCAGAAGAACAGGCAGUGUCAGGACCCUUCUGGGAAGGCCUUGUUGCAGAAUUUCAGCACUCUGGUUUGUGUGGGUGAGAACAGUUUGCUUCCAGCCUCCCUUGUUCCUCCUCAGGAAGAGGGUUCACUGAUCACCCAGACCUGCUUAUCUGUGGAAACCUAGAAGGUGGAGAGGGAGGAGACAGUACCUAAGGAUCCAGGUAUGUUGGAGGAUUGGUGAAAGGAUGGCAAGGGAUUCAAGUGAAUGUGGAAGUGGGACAUGAAAUCAGUUUUGCCACUUUCUGUUUCACUAGAAAUAAUUCUGG
rnacentral:lncRNA from 1 species